rnacentral:snoRNA from 1 species
CUCCCAUGAUGAACUCUGUUUUGUGCCAUUGUGUCUGGGCCACUGAUGCUUCAUGAUGGUAAUGAGGAUCUGAGGGG